rnacentral:rRNA from 1 species
UAUUUUAAAGAGAGUUUGAUCCUGGCUCAGGACGAACGCUGGCGGCGUGCCUAAUACAUGCAAGUCGAACGAACGGAGGAAGAGCUUGCUCUUCCAAAGUUAGUGGCGGACGGGUGAGUAACACGUGGGCAACCUGCCUGUAAGUUGGGGAUAACUCCGGGAAACCGGGGCUAAUACCGAAUGAUAGAAUGUGGCGCAUGCCACGCUUUUGAAAGAUGGUUUCGGCUAUCGCUUACAGAUGGGCCCGCGGUGCAUUAGCUAGUUGG